UGGGGAAUAUUGGUCAAUGGGCGGGAGCCUGAACCAGCCAAGCCGCGUGAGGGAAGAAGGCCCUAUGGGUCGUAAACCUCUUUUGUCAGGGAACAAAAGCGAGUAUGUAUACUGGUCUGAGUGUACCUGAAGAAAAAGCAUCGGCUAACUCCGUGCCAGCAGCCGCGGUAAUACGGAGGAUGCGAGCGUUAUCCGGAUUUAUUGGGUUUAAAGGGUGCGUAGGCGGCGGUGCAAGUCAGCGGUAAAAGCCCGGGGGCUCAACCCCGGCGAGCCGUUGAAACUGCAGUGCUAGAGAAGGCGAGAGGUACGCGGAAUGCGCAGUGUAGCGGUGAAAUGCUUAGAUAUUGCGCAGAACUCCGAUUGCGAAGGCAGCGUACUGGCGCCUGACUGACGCUGAGGCACGAAAGCGUGGGGAUCGAACAGGAUUAGAUACC
rnacentral:rRNA from 1 species